rnacentral:rRNA from 1 species
UACGUCGGGUGCGAGCGUUAAUCGGAAUUACUGGGCGUAAAGCGUGCGCAGGCGGUUUUGUAAGCCAGAUGUGAAAGCCCCGGGCUCAACCUGGGAAUGGCAUUUGGGACUGCAAGGCUUGAGUGCGGCAGAGGAGACUGGAAUUCCUGGUGUAGCAGUGAAAUGCGUAGAUAUCAGGAGGAAUACCGAUGGCGAAGGCAGGUCUCUGGGCUGACACUGACGCUCAUGCACGAAAGCGUGGGGAGCAAACAGG